rnacentral:lncRNA from 1 species
GUUUAUUUUCCUCAUUCUUGACAUGAGACGGAAGCUCUCUGUCGAAUCUUGGAUCAAUAAGCUGCUGUCCAGAAUGUAUGUGAAGAGCUCAGCCCUUCUCUUUCUGUUAAUAUCUUCAUCUUUCCCGGCACAGCACACGGUGACACAACGAAAGGAGUCCUCUGCUUUUAACCAUCACCCUUGGUGAGCAGUGGGCAGCCAUGACAGGCGCCCGGGGAGCAGUGUGUGGGGACGGUGCUUUGCUCAGUGGCGCCUUGGCGGCAACCUUCCAGUCACUGGUCUGGUUCCUUACCCGCUAGGCCACCACUGCCCCGCUGUUAAGCUAGCAAACCAAUGAUCCGAAGGUUUGUUGUUUAUUAACAAAUAUAUUUCGAUGCAUUGUUUUUACUUGUGGCAUGACUAAAAAACACAAAAGGGAAAUAAAAGAGCGCAAAGUGUGUCA